rnacentral:lncRNA from 1 species
GAUUCCACCUGGAUCUUCUGGCCACGAUGCCAACUCUUUGCCCAUCAAACCAGAGUGUCCCCAGGAUUCCCGAGGGCAGGGAGCUGGACACAGCUACUGUGGACCCAGGGAAGCGCUGACCAUCAGGAUUUGGCAGUGAGAGCCUCCGUCCAUCUCCCACCCUCCGGACUUCGAUGUUGGGGCCAGCAGACAGGAGCCAUCAGACACGUUCUUUUCGGGCUGCCUCUUCCUCCGUCCAGCUCAGGUGACUGGUGGCCCCUCUGGGCCCAACCAGUCUGGGCAAGAAGCAGCCCCAGCUCUGUCAGAUGCCCAGGGUGGCCCACCCCCCUUCCUGGAGCCCAGCCAGCCCUCUCAGCUGGACUCUUGACCCUCUGUUUUCCUGUUUCUCUGCAGGAAAUGAGCUCUGAAAGACAAGCGCUGAGUGGGGUCCAGACAACAUAUCCAUGCUCAGGGCAGGAAGUAGGAAGGCGGGCAGGGAGGUCCCAGGCAUAUCUGUCCCCUUCUCUCAGAAAAACAAUGCUUUUAUACAAAUCUCCCCAGCAGACUUCUGCUUGUUCUCUUUGGAAAGAACCAGAACAUGUGGCCAUUCCUAGCUGCAAGAAAGUCUGGGAAAAAGGGAGCAAGAUUAUCAUGAUUGGCUUAGACCAGGGUCAGCAACCUUCCGUGAAGGCCUAGAUGGUAAAGACUUGAGGCUUGGUGGCCGUAGACUCUGUCACAACUACUCAACUCUGCCUUUGAAGCACGAAAGCAGCCCCAGACAAUACACAACAAAUGGGUGUGGCUGUGUUCCCAUUAAACUUUAUGGACACAAGCUUGAAUUUCAUGUUAUUUUCAUGUGUCACAAAGUACUAUUUUUUUUUUUAUUUUUUUCAACCAUUUAAAAAAAUGUUAAAAACCAUUUUAGCUUAUGGGCCACACAAAGCCAGGGCAGUCAGAUCUGGUCCUCAGGUCUUAGUUUGCCAAUCUUUGGUUUAGACCAAUCACAAUCCACUGCCCAGGGCUGGGCACACUGUCACUCCGAGAAAAGGUGUGUGUGCGGUGUGUGGCGUGUGUGGGCUGGGGGGGUGUAUGGUGUGGUGUGUGUGUAUGUGGUAGUGUGUGUGUGUGUGUGUGUUUACUAACGGGCAUUUGGGGGAUAAUGGGGAUGGGGAGAAUUACAUGAGCAACUGACAGAGAUCCCCCACAGGCCAUAUUGUCACUGCACGAGAACAGCUGGAUUUCAACUUAAACCAUCCAAACUGGAAAGCCGACCCUCUUAGCCUCUGUGCUAACAUUCUCUGCUCAGCCAUGCAGGUGGGCCGGGCGGGGGAGGGGGGCCGGGCAUGUGAUCAGACAUCAGUAUUAUUAACAUGUUAGCAUUGUUACCAAGAUGGCACACGCAGGGACUCACACCUAUACACUCCUUAGGCAUUCCAGCAGCCUCUUCUCUCAGGAGGAUUGGGUGGGAGAUCACAGAGGAGCUCACACCUCCCUCCCUCCCCAGCCAGUGCACAUCCCUGGGGUGAGGGAUGGGGGCUUCCCUUUGGCCCUGGAGCAGGAUUUCCUUUUCCCUUAAUGUUGAUAGACCAGAAAUUGGUUAUUCUCGUGGUAGGAGGAGAAGCCCUCCCCGCUCCCCCUGACUCCCCUCUUUCUCCUGCUCUUCCCUUCCUGCCCCGCCCCAGCGUGAAGGAGAUUCAGGGAAGUAUCUAAUAGCUGAGGAAGCCUGAGAGAAUGUGAAAACUCAGGGAUGUCAUUCUUUCAGCCAUUAAAAAACCUUUUCUUUCGUUCCUAUCGUAUGAUUUAUUUUUAAAAAAUUCAUCCAGUUCCCAUCGGGCAUGAACUAGGCACUCUUCCAGGAGGUUUUACAUUCUCUGACUCAUGCAACCCUCCCAAGAACCCUCUGAGGUAAUGUCAUUAGAUUAGACCCAUUUCACAAAGGUGGAAGAUGAGACCCAGAGAGUUUACACAACCAACAGCAGAGCCAGGAUUUAACCUAGGUCUGACUGACUCCAGGGUCCCUUCUUUCUGCUGCCACAGGCUGCCUCCACCCUGUGGAGCAUCCUGAGAAGAAGGAGGGAAUGAAGGAUGGAGUUCAGACCUCAGGUGCUGGAGUCAAAGAGACUUGAGUUCAAAUUCUGGAUACAGAUGUAUACUAGUUGCUUCUUUGGGCAAGUCAUUGGAUAUCUCUGAACCUCAGUUUCUUCUCCUGGUAAAAAAAUAAAUCUAUUCUCUCUUCCUCCA